GCGUGUGUAUGGAAAUCUAAUUGGAAAACCCAAAUGUUCAUUACAUGAGUUUGGUGAUGUUAGUUUGAAAGCCUAUUGUGCAGUUGUGUAUUAUGUAUGUGAAUUAAGUUCAGACAAGACUAGUUACAAAAUUGAAGAGAAUGAUGCGACAAAGGUUAAGCGUAGGUUUAGGCAUCUAGCGAAACUGCGAGUUCACUUUUGGGAGAGAUGGAGACAAGAAUACUUGAAUUUGAGAGAGCAUCAUAGAAGUAAGAGGGAGAAGAGGGAUAGGAACGUGAAGAAGGGAGAUGUAGUUUUAGUAUUUGACGAGAAUCUUAAGAGAGGAUUUUGGAAGUUAGGUAGGAUUGAGAGUUUAAUUGUCGGUAAAGAUGAAGUGGUUCGAGGAGCGAAAGUGAGAGUGAUGACUAAAGGAAAUCCA